rnacentral:rRNA from 1 species
CACGGGGGGAGCAAGCGUUGUUCGGAAUCACUGGGCGUAAAGGGCGUGCAGGCGGUCAGGUAAGUGGAAUGUGAAAUCCCUCGGCUCACCCGAGGAUCUGCAUCCCAAACUGCCUGGCUUGAGUAUGGGAGAGGAUGGAGGAAUUCCUGGUGUAGCGGUGAAAUGCGUAGAUAUCAGGAGGAACACCGGUGGCGAAGGCGUCCAUCUGGCCCAAUACUGACGCUGAGGCGCGAAAGCUAGGGGAG